rnacentral:lncRNA from 1 species
CCCUGGUCCUCGCCUUGCGUCCGGUCUGGAGCUGUCACCCCGGAGUACCUCUCGGAGUCGGCUGGAAGCAGCCAGCAGCGCAGCUCACUCCCGAGCGCCGGCGCCCUAGAAGCCAGCAGUCUCCGCCGCAGCUCACAACAAAGGAAACAUGUGACCGUCCCGGCCAAAACACUGAGCGUCACCCAGCCCUGGCCAAUCCGGGGGGGCGGCCUCCGCGCGGGGCACGCUGGGAAUUAUAGUUCCAAACCUGCUGAUUGGAAAGGUUGUGUUAUUUUGCACAGCCGGUUACGGAAAUGCAGCUUAUGCAAGGAGCCUACUGAGAAACAUGCGUAGUAGACUUAUUGUCCUCAACGCUUCUCCAACACCCUAGGCACAAACAGAACUAGGAAUUCCCAGAACCAAAGAGCUUGGAGUAAAGCCUAGAGAUCUCUUUAUUUGAUCAUUUCCUGUCCAAUUGGGAAAUCCCUGAGGACCUGGGGGUGGAAAGGAGUAGUCACUAGAAGGCUCGAGAGAAACUUCCUUUCUUUGUAAAUCUCUUGUCACUUGUAUCAAAUCCUAGGUUACCUUUUUAUUUUAAACAUACAAGCAAGUUGAACUGUUGCAGAUCAAUAUUCCAAAGCAGAUUGAUUCCCCAAAAGGGCAUUAUUUUGUCAUUUUGUUUUUGCAAAUAUUUUUUCGAGGAUGAAUGUAUAACCUGGUUUUUCCACCAAUUAACUGGUUUUUAAUAUCAAAGUUAUAGCUCAUUUCUCUUCUACACUUCAUGAAUACAAUCAUGUGUCCUAUUACAUGGGAGGAUGUGACCAGGAAAUAAUAUAGAAGCUGAACUGAACCAGUGUCUGGGUGUGGAGGAUCCACCUGAGGAUUGUUGCCAACAGCCAUAAAAAGAGAACUGGAGGGGAAGAUCGAAGGCUGUUGAUUUUCUAGGAGCAGCUUGUGUGGAUGGUCUUCCUGAUAGGAACUCGGCUGUUUUCAUCAGAGGGGGAGCUCAGGCCUCACUGUGGCUGGGAAUGGCUGCUGUUCUGUCAGGGGAGCUCUGAUCUUCACCGUGAGCAUCACUUCCUGGCUCCAGUAUGGAUCCCUCAGCCUGUGGCACAAAUCCUUCACCCCACCGGCAUAGGCUUUCUGGCUCCCACCACUGGCCUUUGGGCCUUCAGGUGCAGAUCCUCAAUACUGACAAGCGUGAGACGUUGCCAUGGGCUCUGGGCCUCUGGCUGGACUCAUGGAGGACACUGCCUUGGGCUCUAAGCCUUUAGCUGGACUUGUGUGGGAAAUUGCUGAUCCAGGCUCUCGGCUAGAUUCUUUGGGCCCCUAAUGUGUGGCUAAUCUCUUGCACUCCUUUGCAUUUGACUUUUGGGGUAAUUAUCAUAAAGUAAUCCUAUAAACUAUGUGUCCUGCAGUAAAUUUAUUCUCUUGCCAAACCCUGACUAUAGCAAUCUCCAAACUGAGUCUUAUCUAAAAGUCCUUCUAAAAUGUCUUUGGAAUUUAUUAAAAUGUUUCUACAUGC